GAUGAACGCUAGCGACAGGCUUAACACAUGCAAGUCGAGGGGCAGCGAGGGCGUAGCAAUACGCCUGUCGGCGACCGGCGCACUGGUGAGUAACACGUAUGCGACCUGCCCCCUACAGGGGUAUAACCCGUAGAAAUGCGGACUAAUCCCCCAUAGUCCUGGGUGCUGCAUGGCAUUCAGGGGAAAGGUCAGCCGGUAGGGGAUGGGCAUGCGGCGCAUUAGCUAGUUGGCGGGGCAACGGCCCACCAAGGCGACGAUGCGUAGGGGUUCCGAGAGGUUGAACGGCCACAUUGGGACUGAGACACGGCCCAG
rnacentral:rRNA from 1 species